UACAGAGGGUGCAAGCGUUGUUCGGAAUUAUUGGGCGUAAAGCGCGUGUAGGCGGCUUUGCAAGUCGGGUGUGAAAGCCCUCAGCUCAACUGAGGAAGUGCGCCCGAAACUGCAGAGCUUGAGUGCCGGAGAGGGUGGCGGAAUUCCCCAAGUAGAGGUGAAAUUCGUAAGAUAUGGGGAGGAACACCGGUGGCGAAGGCGGCCGACCUGGACGGG
rnacentral:rRNA from 1 species